rnacentral:piRNA from 1 species
UAUUGGUCAGUUGCUACAGAGUCCUCC